rnacentral:rRNA from 1 species
CCUACGGGAGGCAGCAGUAAGGAAUAUUGGACAAUGCUCGCAAGAGUGAUCCAGCCAUGCCGCGUGCAGGAAGAAUGCCCUAUGGGUAGUAAACUGCUUUUGAACUAGAGAAAACCCCAGUACGUGUACUGGGCUGAUAGUAUAGUUAGAAUAAGCAUCGGCUAACUUCGUGCCAGCAGCCGCGGUAAGACGAAGGAUGCAAGCGUUAUCCGGAUUCAUUGGGUUUAAAAGGGAGCGUAGGUGGACUGAUAAGUCAGUGGUGAAAUCUCCGAGCUUAACUCGGAAAUUGCCAUUGAUACUGUUGGUCUUGAGUACAGUUGCUGUGGGCGGAAUAUGACAUGUAGUGGUGAAAUACAUAGAGAUGUCAUAGAACACCGAUUGCGAAGGCAGCUCACAAAGCUGUAACUGACACUGAGGCUCGAAAGUGCGGGGAUCAAACAGGAUUAGAUACCCUGGUAGUCCGCACCGUAAACGAUGAUUACUCGCUGCUAGGGGGCAACCUUUAGUGGCUUAGCGAAAGCGAUAAGAAUCCACCUGGGGAGUACGCCGGCAACGGUGAAACUCAAAGGAAUUGACGGNNGAGAGNGCGAGAGACACGAGGGAGAG